UACGUAGGGUGCGAGCGUUGUCCGGAAUUAUUGGGCGUAAAGAGCUCGUAGGCGGUCUGUCGCGUCGAUCGUGAAAACUUGGGGCUUAACCCUGAGCUUGCGGUCGAUACGGGCAUGACUGGAGUUCGGCAGGGGAGACUGGAAUUCCUGGUGUAGCGGUGAAAUGCGCAGAUAUCAGGAGGAACACCGGUGGCGAAGGCGGAUCUCUGGGCCUUACCUGACGCUCAGGCACGAAAGCUAGGGGAGCGAACAGG
rnacentral:rRNA from 1 species